AAAAGUUUAAGGCCGCGAAAUGAAACAAAUGGAAAGUGACACUGAAAAAUUUAAAGAACUUCUUUAGAGUUUUGAUUGAUGCCAUAACUGUAGAUACGGGGACUGGAUCAGCUGAAGUCCAGAUUAGGAAGGCCCUACAGCUGCAAAAA